rnacentral:rRNA from 1 species
UACGUAGGGGGCUAGCGUUGUCCGGAUUUAUUGGGCGUAAAGAGCGUGUAGGCGGCCAUGUAGGUCCGGUGUGAAAACUCGAGGCUUAACCUCGAGAUGUCAUCGGAAACCAUUUGGCUAGAGUCCGGAAGAGGAGAGUGGAAUUCCUGGUGUAGCGGUGAAAUGCGCAGAUAUCGGGAGGAACACCUAUGGCGAAAGCAGGUUUCUGGGCCAUCUUUGACGCUGAGCUGCGAAAGCUAGGGGAGCAAACAGG